rnacentral:rRNA from 1 species
UCAGGCCUAACACAUGCAAGUCGGGCGGUAGCAGGAAGUGCUUGCACUUCGCUGACGAGCGGCGGACGGGUGCGUAACACGUAGGAAUCUGCCUGGUAGUGGGGGAUAGCCCGGAGAAAUCCGGAUUAAUACCGCAUACGCCCUACGGGGGAAAGGAGGGGACUCUUCGGAGCCUUUCGCUAUCAGAUGAGCCUGCGUCGGAUUAGCUUGUUGGUGGGGUAAAGGCCUACCAAGGCGACGAUCCGUAGCUGGUCUGAGAGGAUGAUCAGCCACACUGGGACUGAGACACGGCCCAGACUCCUACGGGAGGCAGCAGUGGGGAAUAUUGCACAAUGGGCGAAAGCCUGAUGCAGCCAUGCCGCGUGUGUGAAGAAGGCCCUAGGGUUGUAAAGCACUUUCAGUGGGGAGGAAGGGUUGAAGGUUAAUACCCUUCAGCUGUGACGUUACCCACAGAAGAAGCACCGGCUAACUCCGUGCCAGCAGCCGCGGUAAUACGGAGGGUGCGAGCGUUAAUCGGAAUUACUGGGCGUAAAGCGUGCGUAGGCGGCCACCUAAGUUGGAUGUGAAAGCCCCGGGCUCAACCUGGGAACUGCAUCCAAAACUGGGUGGCUAGAGUACGGGAGAGGAGUGUGGAAUUUCCUGUGUAGCGGUGAAAAUGCGUAGAUAUAGGAAGGAACACCAGUGGCGAAAGCGACACUCU